rnacentral:rRNA from 1 species
ACUCCUACGGGAGGCAGCAGUGGGGAAUAUUGCGCAAUGGGCGAAAGCCUGACGCAGCGACGCCGCGUGAGGGAUGAAGGCCUUCGGGUUGUAAACCUCUUUCAGCGCAGAAGAAGCGAAAGUGACGGUAUGCGCAGAGAAGCACCGGCUAACUCCGUGCCAGCAGCCGCGGUAAUACGGAGGGUGCGAGCGUUAAUCGGAAUUACUGGGCGUAAAGCGCAUGCAGGCGGCCUGUUAAGUCAGAUGUGAAAGCCCGGGGCUUAACCUUGGAAUUGCAUUUGAAACUGGUAGGCUAGAGUCUUGUAGAGGGGGUAGAAUUUCAGGUGUAGCGGUGAAAUGCGUAGAGAUCUGAAGGAAUACCGGUGGCGAAGGCGGCCCCCUGGACAGAUACUGACACUCAGAUGCG